UACGUAGGGUGCGAGCGUUAAUCGGAAUUACUGGGCGUAAAGCGUGCGCAGGCGGUUCGCUGUGGCCUGUGUGAAAGCCCCGGGCUUAACCUGGGAAUGGCAUGGGAAACUGGCGGGCUGGAGUGUGGCAGAGGGGGGUGGAAUUCCGCGUGUAGCAGUGAAAUGCGUAGAGAUGCGGAGGAACACCGAUGGCGAAGGCAGCCCCCUGGGCUAACGCUGACGCUCAGGCACGAAAGCGUGGGGAGCAAACAGG
rnacentral:rRNA from 1 species